rnacentral:rRNA from 1 species
CAACGAUGAAGAGUUUGAUCCUGGCUCAGGAUGAACGCUAGCGGCAGGCCUAACACAUGCAAGUCGAGGGGUAACAGGGAGCUUGCUCCGCUGACGACCGGCGCACGGGUGCGCACCGCGUAUGGAACCUGCCCUCUACAGGGGAAUAGCCCAGGGAAACUUGGAUUAAUGCCCCGUAGUACCGUUAUAUGGCAUCAUAUUACGGUUAAAGCCUUCGGGCGGUAGAGGAUGGCCAUGCGUCCCAUUAGCUAGUUGGUAGGGUAACGGCCUACCAAGGCUACGAUGGGUAGGGGCCCUGAGAGGGGGAUCCCCCACACUGGUACUGAGACACGGACCAGACUCCUACGGGAGGCAGCAGUGAGGAAUAUUGGACAAUGGAGG